AUUUUCCAGAAAAGUUGAAAUUUUAUUAAUUUAAAUGGCUCAGUUAAGAAGAAAGUAUGAUGCAGAAGUUAACUUGUAAGCAACUUUGAGUAAGCUGAUGUUCUGAUCCUCCAAAUGGCCAGAUACUGUACAAGGCGUCCAUGUCUCUGGAGUUCUUCCUUGAUGCUGCAAAGAAACCUGACUUUACAUCCAGCCAGACUGCUAGAGCCACAGCUGUGGAAAAUGGGAAGAUGCCCUCAUGAGGACAUUGAGGGGGACCAUUUUCCCAGAUGUGGAUCAUGCUGGAGUACAGUGAAGAACCAAGAGACCUGAACUAGUGCCUGAUAUCUUAGAUGUUAAAAGCAGAACCAGACAGAUUUACAGCUUUAUUGAAUAAAAACAAUAAAUGACAGGGCCUAGAACAAGGCUGAAAAUGUUGAACAAGGGGCCUGAAAAAUGCACUAUCA